UACAGAGGUCUCAAGCGUUGUUCGGAUUCAUUGGGCGUAAAGGGUGCGUAGGUGGCGGGGUUAGUCAGGUGUGAAAUCUCGGGGCUCAACCCCGAAACUGCACUUGAUACUGCCUUGCUAGAGUACUGGAGAGGAGAUUGGAAUUUACGGUGUAGCAGUGAAAUGCGUAGAUAUGUGGAAGAACACCGGUGGCGAAGGCGGCGACCUGGUCCAUUACUGACGCUGAGGCGCGACAGCGUGGGGAGCAAACAGG
rnacentral:rRNA from 1 species